rnacentral:rRNA from 1 species
CGCGAAGAACCUUACCAGGUCUUGACAUCUAGUGCCAUUUGUAGAGAUACAAAGUUCCCUUCGGGGACGCUAAGACAGGUGGUGCAUGGCUGUCGUCAGCUCGUGUCGUGAGAUGUUGGGUUAAGUCCCGCAACGAGCGCAACCCUUGUUAUUAGUUGCCAGCAUUAAGUUGGGCACUCUAAUGAGACUGCCGGUGACAAACCGGAGGAAGGUGGGGAUGACGUCAAGUCAUCAUGCCCCUUAUGACCUGGGCUACACACGUGCUACAAUGGGCAGUACAACGAGAAGCGAGCCUGCGAAGGCAAGCGAAUCUCUGAAAGCUGUUCUCAGUUCGGACUGCAGUCUGCAACUCGACUGCACGAAGCUGGAAUCGCUAGUAAUCGCGGAUCAGCACGCCGCGGUGAAUACGUUCCCGGGUCUUGUACACACC